UAAAUGUUCUUUUCUUUCCAGGGUGCAUC
rnacentral:piRNA from 1 species